rnacentral:rRNA from 1 species
UACGUAGGCAGCGAGCGUUGUUCGGAAUUACUGGGCGUAAAGAGUGUGUAGGCGGUGCUCUAAGUUUGGUGUGAAAUCUCCCGGCUCAACUGGGAGGGUGCAUCGAAAACUGGAGUGCUCGAGGGUGGGAGAGGUAAGCGGAAUUCCUGGUGUAGCGGUGAAAUGCGUAGAUAUCGUCUGGAACGCCGAAGGUGAAAACAGCUCGCUGGGGCUGCGCUGACGCUGAGACACGAAAGCCAGGGGAGCGAACGGG